AAAGUAAGACAGAUGAUCGUCCCGACACUUCGUGUCGGGAAGGAAAGUCCGAACUCCACAGGGCAGGACGCCUCAUAACAUGAGGGGGGUGUGAACCCCCGGAAAGUGCCACAGAAAAUAUACCGUCCCGUCCCGACACGAAGUGUCGGGACGGGGUAAGGGUGAAAAGGUGGGGUAAGAGCCCACCGUUGCGCUGGUAACAGCGUAAGCAUGGUAAACCCCGUUCGGAGCAAGACCAAAUAGGAGAAGAGAAGCUGCCCGCUUCGUUUGAUUCUCGGGUAGGUUGCUUGAGGUUCGCUGCGAAGUGAAUCCCAGAUAAAUGAUCAUCCUCGACAGGAUUCGGCUUACGGCUUGCUUUAGAU
rnacentral:RNase_P_RNA from 1 species